GCUGUGACCUAACGUACUUUUCUGCCUAUGAACUAUGGCAAAGAUUCUCAGAUUAAGCAUGCUGGUCGUUUUUACUGCAUUUUGCCUUCUUUUCAAGUUACAGGGAAAUAUUCCCACCUGUGUUCUCGCAGGAAACCCAGCGAUUAGUCCCAAAAAUCCUACACGCAGAGAUACCGUCCCUUUUAGGCCACCACAAAGGGCCUGGCAAAGUACACGUCGAACAACUACGAGACGCAAAGCAUCCAAUUGCAAGUGGGGAUAAUUUCGCCGAGGACGGCCACUUAGCUGCAUGAAUGGAAAGAGAAAAUGAAACGAUUCUGCAAAUUGUCUCUCCGCAACACUAAUAAAACGGUUCGGUGGGAAUGCCGAAAAAUCUUGC